ensembl:snRNA U6 U6 spliceosomal RNA
GUGCUUGCUUCGGCAGCAUGUAUACUAAAAUUAGAACGAUACGGAGAAGAUUAGCCAUGACCGCUGCACAAGGAUGACAUGCAAGAUUGUGAAGCAUUCCAUAUUUAU